AUGAGGACCCUUUUGGUUUUGAAGAUUAUUUUCCUUCAAUGAUUGACACAUUGGGGGUUGAAAGAUUCAUGGAAGAACUAUGCAAUGGUUUUUGCAUGCUAAUGGAUGUAAGUAUAGGGCUCAUCACAUUUGAAAGCUUGAAAAGGAACACAAUCUUGAUGGGAUUAAGUGAAUUGAAAGAUGAAGAACUUCUUUGCAUGUUGAUUGAAGGAGAUUUGGAUGGAGAUGGAGCUCUCAAUCAAAUGGAGUUUUGUUCACUCAUGUUUAGAUUAAGUCCUGGAUUAAUG
rnacentral:misc_RNA from 1 species